rnacentral:rRNA from 1 species
UACGUAGGGUGCGAGCGUUGUCCGGAAUUACUGGGCGUAAAGAGCUCGUAGGUGGUUUGUCGCGUUGUCCGUGAAAACUCACAGCUCAACUGUGGGCGUGCGGGCGAUACGGGCAGACUAGAGUGAUGUAGGGGAGACUGGAAUUCCUGGUGUAGCGGUGAAAUGCGCAGAUAUCAGGAGGAACACCGAUGGCGAAGGCAGGUCUCUGGGCAUUAACUGACGCUGGAGGAGCGAAAGCAUGGGGAGCGAACAGG